CCGCGAGGCCUACCGCGUCCACCUGAGGGGACCCGUCCUGUGCCGCGGGAGCCCGGGCGGGCGGGGAGGCCUCGUGG